rnacentral:rRNA from 1 species
AAAMCUGUGAAAGGCUCCAUUAAAACAGCUGUAGUUUGUUUKAUSGUGAAWYCCUUACAUGGAWCCYGCGGAAAUUCUGGAGCUAAUACAUGUUUCCACACCUGACUUCUCGGAAGGGUGGUACUUAYYMGUUAUAGAACCAACCCAGGCUUGCCUGGUUGUUUGGUGAUUCAUGAUAAGCAAAUGAAYCSACAGCAUCGCUGSCGAUAAAUCAUUUAAGCUUCUGACCUAUCAGCUUUCGAUGGUAUGGUAUUGGCAUACCAUGGCGAUGACGGGUGACGGAGAAUUAGGGUUCGAUUCCGGAGAGGGAGCCUGAGAAAUG